rnacentral:rRNA from 1 species
GGAUGCCGAUCAUACCAGCACUAAAGCACCGGAUCCCAUCAGAACUCUGAAGUUAAGCGUGCUUGGGCGAGAGUAGUACUAGGAUAGGUGACCUCCUGGGAAGUCCUCGUGUUGCAUUCCU